rnacentral:misc_RNA from 1 species
GGGCGAGUUUUGGAGUCAUGAACACAGUGCGUUGGAGAAACGGAAUCGAAGAAAGUACUCAAAGAAGUAGUGCUUAUUUGUAAGACUCGGUUUUGACGGACUCAGUCGCUGCUGUAGAAAUAGACAAAAUUUCUUUUUAUUAUUUGUACGAACAAUAUUGGAUAUUGUAAAAUUUUUUCUAUCUAUUUAUUUAUUGUAACAUUUUAAUGCAUACAAAGCAAUUUCCUCGACUUUUAUGUGCAUAUAGCCUAGCGGAAAAAUCUUUGUAUAUAUAUCGC